rnacentral:rRNA from 1 species
UUGUUGCAGUUAAAAAGCUCGUAGUUGGAUUUCUGCGGGGGCGGGGCGGCCGGAUGCUUAUAGCAUCUCGAGCUAGCACUUCCCCUGCAUCCUGCCGCGAACCGUGCUACCAUAGUUUGGUGGCGCUGGGGAUCGGCACGUUUACUUUGAGAAAAAUAGAGUGUUCAAAGCAGGCCACACGCCUUGAAUAAGUUAGCAUGGAAUAAUGAUAAAGGACUUCGGUUCUAUUUUGUUGGUGUUCGGGACUGAAGUAAUGAUUGAUAGGGACAGUUGGGGCGGUCAGUAUUCCAAAGCGAGAGGUGAAAUUCUUAGACCUUCGGAAGACUAACAGCUGCGAAAGCGUUCCGCAAGGAUGUUCCCUUUGAUCAAGAACGAAAGUUGGGGGAUCGAAGACGAUCAGAUACCC